UAGGGAAUAUUGGGCAAUGGGCGAAAGCCUGACCCAGCAACGCCGCGUGUGCGAUGAAGGUCUUCGGAUCGUAAAGCACUUUUCGGGGAGAUGAGAAAGGACAGUAUCCCCGGAAUAAGUCUCGGCUAACUACGUGCCAGCAGCCGCGGUGAAACGUAGGAGGCAAGCGUUAUCCGGAUUUACUGGGCGUAAAGCGCGUGCAGGCGGUUCGGUAAGUUGGAUGUGAAAGCUUCCGGCUCAACUGGGAGAGGUCGUUCAAUACUACCGGACUUGAGAGUGGUAGAGGGAGGUGGAAUUCCCGGUGUAGUGGUGAAAUGCGUAGAUAUCGGGAGGAACACCAGUGGCGAAAGCGGCCUCCUGGACCAUUUCUGACGCUCAGACGCGAAAGCUAGGGGAGCAAACGGGAUUAGAGACCCCGGUAGUCCUAGCUGUAAACGAUGUGAACUUGGCGUCGGUGGUGUAAAAACCAUCGGUGCCGAAGCCAACGCGAUAAGUUCACCGCCUGGGGACUACGGCCGCAAGGUUA
rnacentral:rRNA from 1 species